GGCGAGGGGACAGAUUGGGGCCGCACAAGCGGUGGAUGAUGUGGUUUAAUACGAUGCAACGCGAAAAACCUUACCCACCUUUGACACGGCAGGAAUUCCGAAGAGAUUUGGAAGUGCUCGAAAGAGAACCUGCACACAGGUGCUGCAUGGCUGUCGUCAGCUCGUGUCGUGAGAUGUUGGGUUAAGUCCCGCAACGAGCGCAACCCUUGCCAUUAGUUGCUACGAAAGGGCACUCUAAUGGGACUGCCGGUGACAAACCGGAGGAAGGUGGGGAUGACGUCAAGUCCUCAUGGCCCUUAUAGGUGGGGCUACACACGUCAUACAAUGGCCGGUACAAAGGGUAGCCAACCCGCGAGGGGGAGCCAAUCCCAUAAAGCCGGUCGUAGUCCGGAUCGCAGUCUGCAACUCGACUGCGUGAAGUCGGAAUCGCUAGUAAUCGUGGAUCAGCAUGUCACGGUGAAUACGUUCCCGCCCCUUGCACACACCGCCCGAAUCU
rnacentral:rRNA from 2 species